AAUUUCCAUCCAUUUUUGAUAAACAUAUCGUACAGUUUAAAUCCCUUAACGAGGAUCAAUUGGAAGGCAAGUCUGGUGCCAGCAGCCAUGGUAAUUCCAGCUCCAA
rnacentral:ncRNA from 1 species